rnacentral:rRNA from 1 species
AUUGAACGCUGGCGGCAGGCUUAACGCAUGCAAGUCGAGCGGAGUGAUGGUGCUUGCACUAUCACUUAGCGGCGGACGGGUGAGUAAUGCUUAGGAAUCUGCCAUUUAGUGGGGGACAACAUUCCGAAAGGAAUGCUAAUACCGCAUACGUCCUACGGGAGAAAGCAGGGGAUCUUCGGACCUUGCGCUAAAUGAUGAGCCUAAGUCGGAUUAGCUAGUUGGUGGGGUAAAGGCCUACCAAGGCGACGAUCUGUAGCGGGUCUGAGAGGAUGAUCCGCCAAACUGGGACUGAGACACGGCCCAGACUCCUACGGGAGGCAGCAGUGGGGAAUAUUGGACAAUGGGCGGAAGCCUGAUCCAGCCAUGCCGCGUGUGUGAAGAAGGCCUUUUGGUUGUAAAGCACUUUAAGCGAGGAGGAGGCUCUCCUAGUUAAUACCUAGGAAGAGUGGACGUUACUCGCAGAAUAAGCACCGGCUAACUCUGUGCCAGCAGCCGCAGUAAAAC